rnacentral:misc_RNA from 1 species
AAUACACUCUCUCUUUCUAAAUGGAAAUCGACGCGAAUAAAAAUUAACUCCAAAUAACAGAUCAUUUCAGGCGAGAAAAAUGAAAAAAUUCUAGGGUUUCGAAAUCUCUCCCUCUCUCCCUCUCCCGUCGAUUUUCCUUUCCUCCAAACGUCAUUCCUGUAGUUUUUUCUUUUUCAUUUUUUCCCGGGAAAGUUGGAGGAAGUUUUACAGGUCUUAUGUGUCGUUUUCUCCGGGAAUUUCAUUUUCCCGGGAGAAUAUUAUCUCCGAAUUCGCCUUCCUCGCUAGCUUCUUCUCUGAAUCAGGCUUUUACAGGUAUCUUGCUAGCGUUCUCGUGAUUCUGUUUGUUUGAAUGGAAUUCCUUUUGGAGAGAUUCUCUGGGGAAAAAUCUUCCUUUUAAAGCUCAGUUUUAUUUGUUCUUGUUUUAUUUGCCUGUUUGGGGGGAAUUUGAGGAAAAUAAAUUUUAAGUUGUUCAGAUGCAGUUUUAUCACCUCGUGAAAAAUUUCAGCUGGAAAAUAUUUCCUUAAUGGAAACAGAACUUUCUUUCUUUUUUAAUAUUUUAGAUUUUUAGGGUUUAAUUAUGUAUUCUCUCUUAUUUUUUAGGUCAUUUGCAUGUGAUUACUGAUCUCAGAUGAAAAGUAGCUGGUAAUUAGAAUUGAGGAAGGGAAGUAAUUGACGUUAAAAGAUCUGUAGAAUCAACGGGGAGAGAGAAUUUCAGAGUUCCAAAGAUAAAGAUCCUCCUUUUACACGUUCAUUUUAGAUCGUUAAUUUUGUUAUCUGUAGUAAUGAUACUGAAUUGAUCUUCAAUCAUUGUAAAAUUUAAUGCUAAUUGCUUUAUGGAUUUGGAAGUACUUUCACCUACCUCUUCACCUUCACGGUCAAGGGCUUUGGUGAAAUGUUGUAAUUGUGGGUGUAGUUGUUCUUUAGUAUCUUCUUACUCCCCAGGUUCUUGGUUCCGGUCUGUGAAACGAAAAUAUAAUGAGUUUGAGGAAGGAAAUCGAUUCUAUAUACCUGGAUUUGAUCUCUUCUCAAAUCCUCGUGUGCAAAUUGAGAAUGAAUGUACUGCACUCCGUGAAACAGUUAGUAGCCAACAGCAGGCAAUACAAGAUUUAUACGCAGAACUGGAGGAGGAGAGAAAUGCCUCUUCGACGGCUGCAAAUGAGGCAAUGUCGAUGAUAUUGAGGUUGCAGAGGGAGAAGGCAGAGAUCCAAAUGGAUGCAAGGCAAUUCAAGCGUUUUGCAGAGGAGAAGAUGGCUCAUGACCAACAGGAGCUUUUGGCUUUUGAGGAUAUACUGUAUAAGAGAGAACAAACCAUUCAAUCACUCAGUUGUGAGGUGCAGGCUUAUAAAUAUAGGAUGAUGAGUUAUGGGCUUACAGAAGCAGAGGCAGAGGGGGAGAAGGGUGAGAGAAGUGAGUUUAGCCGCAACCCAAGUAUGGCUGAAAAUUUGGACGCUGCCCAAUUUGAAUUUCCAGCAUACAAUUAUCCACCCUUAAAAUGCAAUUUGAAUGAGAACCCAAGUGCUUUGGAGGGCGAUGAUGAUGUUGUGGAUGUUGAGAAGUAUGCUUUUGGUGAGACUCCUCAUGCUCGGGAUCAUUUGAAGAAUUUGGAAUAUAGGAUCAAUCAGAUGGAGCGAAGUCCUAGUAGCAGUCAAUUAGAUGGGGAGUCUUCUGGUUCUAAGAAUAUCCCAGAGAAGGUGAUAGUGGGUCAUUCUCCCAGGCAACCAAGAGACAGGAUGUUUUCUGCUAAUGGUUCGAGUUCAUUCAUGGGUUUGUCAAGAGAAACAGGUCCAGAUCUUGUGACAGAAUCUCCUAGUUUUAGGUUCAAUAAUAGCUUUAAGAAGAUGGAUUAUGUUUCACAGUCAGAAGACUACUCGAAUUUGAGAAAGGUGGAUAAUGCAUCAGAUUUUGGGGAUGACAUGAGUGACAGAGUUUAUACCAUUGAUUCUGUCCACAAUGGGGUACCGUAUAAUUGUGUUGCUGAUCCAAAAGCUGGAGCUGUGAUUUGUGAAGAUUAUAUAUCCACUCCAAGGGAAGCAUUAAAUCGGCCUGAUGUUAGUGAUCCUGACGUCAAAAAGCUCUACAUGAGGCUUCAGGCACUUGAGGCUGACAGGGAAUCUAUGAGGCAUGCAAUUAUUUCAAUGCGCACUGAUAAAGCCCAGAUGGUGCUGUUGAAAGAAAUAGCUCAACAUUUGUGCAAGGAAAUGUCACCAGAAAGGCGAAUGCCUGUGAAGAAGCCAUCUCUUCUUGGAACCUUUUCCUUCUUGUCAAUUUUCAAGGUAUGCAUAUGAAUAAUGCAUGUAUUAUCAUCAGAACUCUGGUUUCUGUGAGGUGUUCUCCAUAUGAAUUAAUGUUUACCUAUUGUAUGAUGAUCAUAAAUUCUUUCUAAUCUUUCCUUUUUAUGUUUCUUUUCAUUCAACCAUGAAUUUCUAGAAAUAGCAUUUUUUGUCUAUUUCUAAGAAUUUUGUAGUUUAGCGGUUUAUUAUUUGCAUUAAUCUCCUUUGCUAGAUUGUGUCCAAAACUCAUUAUUCAUGGGAUGACUGUUUAUAUUGCUGGAAUCUUAAAAAACUAACAUAUGUUAAUGCUGAAGCUAUUUUAUGAACACCCUGUUGUAUACUUUCUCUUGCACUAGCACUAAACUCUUUCGUCUUUCAUUUUGCUUGUUCAGUGGGUUGUGUCCUUCAUUUUCUGGAGAAAGAAAGCUCGUCGAAGCAAGUGAGUAGAUUGAUGUGCACACAGUUUAUUUUCUUUGAUUAAUAUAUUCGUGUUGUGACAUGAGCAACGUUGUGCAUUUUAUAUUCAAUUAUCCAUCAGUUGAUUUGCCUGAGAAAAUUAGUGGCUUGAUUUACAGUUUUAAUCAGUCUCCUGAUGUCUGUUGUAAAAUUUUGUAAUGGCAGAUAUAUGUGUGGGCUUUCAGCAAGCAAUGUUGGUCUGCUACUGCUUCUGGACAAAGGGCCUCGCACAAGGCAGUGGAGAUGUCUUACAAGUACACAAGUGUAAAACCACCAGUCAAACUUCCAUAUCCAUUGGAUGCUGAUGUUCAUAUAUGUGAGCCCAUAGUGGAUUUUGGUCACGUUGCCAUAAUUUUUCGCAUUCUCUUUCUGGAUUCAUUGCUUGCUGCUGCAGAUUUGGGUGUGCUUUGCAGUGUUAUUUCAUUUGGAUUUCUACAGAUUGAAUAUAUCUUGCUGGUUGAUCAGGGAAAGAUGGAUAUGGUAUGGGAAUGCUAGCCCAUUUAGUUUGUUCGAAUUUAGCUUGAGGUACAUGUCUCAUGACAGCCCUCUUCUGUAUAUUUCAAAUUCUUGUAUGAUUCCCACUCAAAUAUGCAAUUUGGUUUUCUUUCUCUCUCGUGCAAGAUGAAUUCAUCUUGAGGAUUGGUUUCAAUGCAGCGGUUGUUUCUUCUCUCCUAAGUAGUGAUUAUAUACUUAUAUUUUUUGAUUUCUGCAAAUUUUACCAGCUGAGUAAUCACAUAUGUAACUUCGCUAUUUUACAUUGUAAGCACAGAUUAUCCGAGGCAGACUAAUUCAGGCUAAUGCGCAUAAUUAAAAGAGCCUGUAAAGUUGGUCCAUGGUAAUGUAUUAUCGUCUCACUUUAAAGCCGAUUUUAAUCUCUG